UAGCUACAUUGAAAAAUCUCCUUCUGCUCCUUAUUGUUACUUGUUUGCUUAACUUAUCAUUUGUUUGUUUUUUUGGAAGGUGAGGAAACUUGGGUUAUUACAGCUGUCAAGGCUGAGGCUCUGGCCCCAAUGACUCCAGGAACAACACUACUGAAAAACCAAAUCUCCUUCCUGCUAAACAAAAUAAACACCACUGAGGUCAUUUUCUUUUUUCCCACUGAGUCUAAUGCAAUCAAGUCAAGAGGGUGUGAGCUUGGAAGAUGAAGGCUGACAGCUGAAGGCUGAAGGAUUCUGUCAAGACAACGACCAUGAUACCGGCUCACCAAAAAAACGAGGAGCCAGAAAUUGAGGCCAUCAAAAUAGAUAAGGUAGUGGAGACAUCCAUCAUAGUCCGCUGCUAUACCACUGGCUUUCACAUGCAAAAUCCAACUGUGAGAGGAAAAACACACACAAAAAUGAAUAUUCCAUAGAACCACACAUUUAUUUUGAAUCUGAGGUUUUUUUCUUUCAUUUUCCUUUUUCUUCACUUCCAACUUUCUUUGGCUUUUUGAAAUAUCCACAAAUGAUUCCCAAAUAUGCCUCUAUAAGCCAACCAAGGACUUUCUUUGCUUUGCUUCCUGAUACAGCCCAUAACAUUCUAAAACUCAUGAUGUUAAAAAGAAUCUUUUGGGCCUAGAGACAGCCUGGUGGUUAAGAGGACUAUCUGUUCUUCCAGAGGACCUGGGCUCAAUUCCCAGAACCCACAUGGCGGCCACAACUGUCUGUAACUCCAGAGGAUCCAAUAUCCUCAUAAAGACAUUUAUAAAAAUGAAUAAAUCAUUAGAAAUAAAAUAAUAAAAAAUAAUC
rnacentral:lncRNA from 1 species